rnacentral:sRNA from 1 species
GAGACCGGGACUUAGAGAUGCUGUGGUGGGGGUGAGGAGGUGGGCAGGGGGCGGGGGUAGGGGACUGGUGGAGCAGGGAGAGGAUUGGGAACAGGGACGGAAGGGGGACAGUUAGUCAAGUUUUUAGAUGGAGCCAGGCAUGGAGACACACCUAAUCCCAGCGUUUCUGAAGUCAAAGCAAGAGGAUCAAAAAGUUCUUGGGCCGCACAGCUUUAAUCCCAGCACUGGGGAGGCAGAGUGCACGGUUUGUGUAGACCAAGCUGGCUUCGAACUCAGAGAUUCACCACACCCAAAUUCUGUAUUUGUUUCUGUGAAAGGGCGUUAUGUAGCCCAGGCUAGCCUAACUUGCUAUGGUAAGGAGAACGGCCUUGAACUGGUGCCACACGUAUCGGACUCUGUAUUUUGAAGCAGGGUCUCAUAAUGAGCUCAUCAGGUUUUCAGGGUGUGUCUUGGGCUGGCUUUCAACUCAAGAUCCUCCUGCCUCAGCAGCAGGUAUUAUAGGUACACCACGGACCAGCCAUCCUCAUUCCUGUAAAUAGGUCAGUGGUCCAUGAUGGAGCCUUGGAGCUUGAAGAGAGCUUGCAGUGUGUGGUACUGAAAGCCCAAAACUCCAGCAUCUGGGAGGUGGACACCAGAAGGCCUCAAGUUCAAGGUCAGCCCCGACCAUAAUGAGGCCCUGUCCCUGAGCCCCCACCUCCAUUGUAGAGGAGACGUGUUGUUUUAGCACAUGGUUUCAGAAAAAAGAAGAAGCUAUGUGGCAGCAACAGUGGCGUUGGUGACAGUGGUGGUGGUCUCUAAUUUUAGGCCUGAGGAGAGGGCUCGGCUGUUAAGAACAUCGACUGUACAGGUGGUGAUGGCUUAUGCCCUGAAUCCCACCACUUGGGAGGCAGAGGCAGGUGGAUCCCUGAGUUCAAGACCAGCUUGGACUACAGAGUGAGUUCCA